UACGGAGGGUGCGAGCGUUGUCCGGAAUCAUUGGGCGUAAAGGGCUCGUAGGCGGCCUGUCGCGUCGGGAGUGAAAGCCCACUGCUUAACGGUGGGUCUGCUUCCGGUGACGGGCAGACUGGAGGUAUGCAGGGGAGAACGGAAUUCCUGGUGUAGCGGUGAAAUGCGCAGAUAUCAGGAGGAACACCGGUGGCGAAGGCGGGUCUCUGGGCCGAUACUGACGCUGAGGAGCGAAAGCGUGGGGAGCGAACAGG
rnacentral:rRNA from 1 species